GAUGAACGCUGGCGGCGUGCCUAAUACAUGCAAGUCGAGCGAACAGAUGAGGAGCUUGCUCCUCUGACGUUAGCGGCGGACGGGUGAGUAACACGUGGAUAACCUACCUAUAAGACUGGGAUAACUUCGGGAAACCGGAGCUAAUACCGGAUAAUAUAUUGAACCGCAUGGUUCAAUAGUGAAAGACGGUUUUGCUGUCACUUAUAGAUGGAUCCGCGCCGCAUUAGCUAGUUGGUAAGGUAACGGCUUACCAAGGCAACGAUGCGUAGCCGACCUGAGAGGGGGCGCGCCCACACUGGACAUGAACCCCGGCCAGGCCUCUUAGGGGAGGAAGCAGAGGGGAUUCUUCGGCAAGGGGCGAAAGUUUGACGAACCAGGCCCGCGUGAGUAAUAAAGGUUUUGGAAUCUAAAACUUUUUUUAUGGGGAAAAAACAAUUUUGAAGUUAACACUGCCCGUCUGAACGUUACCUAAUCAAAAACCCCCGCCAAAUUACGUC
rnacentral:rRNA from 1 species